UACGGAGGGUGCAAGCGUUAUCCGGAUUUACUGGGUUUAAAGGGUGUGUAGGCGGGCUUUUAAGUCAGUGGUGAAAUCUCCGGGCUCAACCUGGAAACUGCCAUUGAUACUAUUAGUCUUGAAUUUUGUUGAGGUAGGCGGAAUAAGUCAUGUAGCGGUGAAAUGCAUAGAUAUGACAUAGAACACCAAUUGCGAAGGCAGCUCGCUACACAUAUAUUGACUCUGAGGCACGAAAGCGUGGGGAUCAAACAGG
rnacentral:rRNA from 1 species